rnacentral:rRNA from 1 species
GACGAACGCUGGCGGCGUGCUUAACACAUGCAAGUCGAACGGAAAGGCCCUGCUUUUUUGGGGUGCUCGAGUUGCGAACGGGUGACUAACACGUGAGUAACCUGCCCUUGACUGUGGGAUAACUUCAUGAAACUUGGGCUAUUACCGGCUAGGAUCUCCUGCUGCAUGGUGGGGGUUGGAUAGUUUCGGUGGUUGGUGAUGGACUCGCCGCCUAUUAGCUUGUUCGUGGGGUAGUGGAUUAGCAAGGCUUUGACCGGUAGCCGGCCUGCGAGGGUGACCGGCCACACUGGGAUUGAGAUACGACACGGCCUCCUACCGGAGGCAGCAGUGGGGAAUAUUACACAAUGGGCGGAAGCAUGAUGCGGCACAGCAGUGUGGGGGAUGACGGCAUUGGGGUUGUAUUCCACUUUCCCCUGUGACGAAGUGUGAGUGACGGUAAUGGGUAAAGAAGCACCGGCUAACUCCGUG